UACGGAGGGUGCAAGCGUUGCUCGGAAUUACUGGGCGUAAAGCGGGCGCAGGCGGUUCAUCAAGUCGAUUGUGAAAGCCCGGAGCUCAACUCCGGAACUGCAGUCGAAACUGAUGAACUUGAGUACGAGAGAGGAGAGCGGAAUUCCUGGUGUAGAGGUGAAAUUCGUAGAUAUCAGGAGGAACAUCAGCGGCGAAGGCG
rnacentral:rRNA from 1 species